UUCAAAACUUAUAUCAUUCUAAAGUUAUCAAGAUAGUCACGUUAUGCAAUUAGGAGGUUAUAUCAUAUAACAUUGAUGCCUUUUGAUGCAAUUGUACAUCUGUUGCAGCUCCUUUUAUUACCAUAUUGUCAUCCAUUUCUGUCCUAUUCACACACAUCCAUAACUACCUGAAUUUCGAUUCCCCUCUCCUCGUUAAGACUCGAGUUUUUAGCUUCAUGCUCACAACCAAAACUUUUACGGUAAAGGGAGCAAACAUAUUUCCUUUUUCACACUUGUUUAUCUGCAUAUGAUGGAAAGGUGCACAAUAUUUCAGAGAGCCAUGUGCCAUUGCUCCUAUUUAGAGUUCUACCAUGCUUUUCAAAUGUGUAGAUGAUGAUUUCUCUGUUGAACAUGGACAGAUUAUAUUGAGAAGAAGGCAUCUUCCCUUGGGCUGCGAACGCUUUUCGUCCUGACUACACGCACAGCAGAUUGGUUUGUAAGGCGAGGCUUCUCCGAAUGUUCUAUUGACAACAUACCAGAGGAGAGGAGGAAAAAGAUUAAUAUAUCCCGUCGAUCCAAGUACUACAUGAAGAAACUUUUACCUGAUAGGAGUGGCAUUCGUCUAAAUACUGCCGUUGCAUAACAUAAGGAGAUUAUGUUUUGCGACAUUCUUUAGUGUCCAAUUGAGUAUUUCGGCAAGGAAAGCUCAAAAUAGUUUGUCAGAUCUCAUCUUGAUGCAUUAUCCUCCCAAUUCCUGAGGGCAACGGCAUCCGCUGAACUGAAACCAGAAAUUAUGCUUGAGUGAGAUUAUUCAGUGAGAUGCUGUACUCUGGAAUCUGUAGUGAUUUUACCCAUAAAAAAAAAAAAAGAAAUCUUCAGUGAUUUUCACAACGCAUUUCUGCAACACACCAAAGUAUUUUUAAUGCAGUUGAUCGCUGAACAUAAUCAUUUUCUACCUACUAUAGUCUCUGAAAUAAGUAUUUUUAACGGGGGCUUUGUUUUAGAAAAGACGAGAGAAAAUCUUUUAGAAUAAUAUUUUUCUACUUUUUAAUUUACUUUUAAUGAUAUUCAAAUUAUAGUUUCAAAACAGAACAGAUCUUGUUAGGGAAAAAGUUGUUUGAUGGUAUGCAUAUUCCAGUAACAUUUCCAAUUCGUUUUGUGAAAAUUUCAGCCUCAAAUAGAAUGGAGAGAACUGUCCCAUUCAUCUACCACUCUGAUAACACACCUAUCUAGCGAAAGACUCAAAUUUCUUUCUACUCGUGAAAACAAUCUAGAACCCAAACAUCUUGUCUAGAAAAACACAUGACGAAAGAAAAAUGAGGUGAUUAAACCAUAUCUAGACGAAUAAAACAAAGAAGAACGUAUGGCCGGUUUUAUCUGACUUAUUGCUUCAAGGAGCUCAGUCGGAAACAUGAUGCCCAACAGAAGAAA